rnacentral:rRNA from 1 species
AGUUCUUGACAUCCUACAAACUUUCUGGAGACAGAUUGGUGCCCUUUCGGGGGAAUGUAGUG